rnacentral:rRNA from 1 species
UACAGGGGGGGCAAGCGUUGUUCGGAAUUACUGGGCGUAAAGGGUUCGUAGGUGGCUCACUAAGUCACACGUGAAAUCCCUCAGCUUAACUGGGGAACUGCGUGUGUAAACUGGAGAGCUUGAGGGUAGGAGAGGAAUGCAGAAUUCCAGGUGUAGCGGUGAAAUGCGUAGAUAUCAGGAGGAACACCGGUGGCGAAGGCGGGUCUCUGGGCCGAAACUGACGCUGAGGAGCGAAAGCGUGGGGAGCAAACAGG